AGAGUUUGAUCAUGGCUCAGAUUGAACGCUGGCGGCAGGCCUAACACAUGCAAGUCGAACGGUAACAGGAAGCAGCUUGCUGCUUCGCUGACGAGUGGCGGACGGGUGAGUAAUGUCUGGGAAGCUGCCUGAUGGAGGGGGAUAACUACUGGAAACGGUAGCUAAUACCGCAUAAUGUCGCAAGACCAAAGAGGGGGACCUUCGGGCCUCUUGCCAUCGGAUGUGCCCAGAUGGGAUUAGCUUGUUGGUGGGGUAACGGCUCACCAAGGCGACGAUCCCUAGCUGGUCUGAGAGGAUGACCAGCCACACUGGAACUGAGACACAGUCCAGACUCCUACGGGAGGCAGCAGUGGGGAAUAUUGCACAAUGGGCGCAAGCCUGAUGCAGCCAUGCCGCGUGUAUGAAGAAGGCCUUCGGGUUGUAAAGUACUUUCAGCGGGGAGGAAGGGAGUAAAGUUAAUACCUUUGCUCAUUGACGUUACCCGCAGAAGAAGCACCGGCUAACUCCGUGCCAGCAGCCGCGGUAAUACGGAGGGUGCAAGCGUUAAUCGGAAUUACUGGGCGUAAAGCGCACGCAGGCGGUUUGUUAAGUCAGAUGUGAAAUCCCCGGGCUCAACCUGGGAACUGCAUCUGAUACUGGCAAGCUUGAGUCUUGUAGAGGGGGGUAGAAUUCCAGGUGUAGCGGUGAAAUGCGUAGAGGUCUGGAGGAAUACCGGUGGCGAAGGCGGCCCCCUGGACGAAGACUGACGCUCAGGUGCGAAAGCGUGGGGAGCAAACAGGAUUAGAUACCCUGGUAGUCCACGCCGUAAACGAUGUCGACUUGGAGGUUGUGCCCUUGAGGCGUGGCUUCCGGAGCUAACGCGUUAAGUCGACCGCCUGGGGAGUACGGCCGCAAGGUUAAAACUCAAAUGAAUUGACGGGGGCCCGCACAAGCGGUGGAGCAUGUGGUUUAAUUCGAUGCAACGCGAAGAACCUUACCUGGUCUUGACAUCCACGGAAGUUUUCAGAGAUGAGAAUGUGCCUUCGGGAACCGUGAGACAGGUGCUGCAUGGCUGUCGUCAGCUCGUGUUGUGAAAUGUUGGGUUAAGUCCCGCAACGAGCGCAACCCUUAUCCUUUGUUGCCAGCGGUCCGGCCGGGAACUCAAAGGAGACUGCCAGUGAUAAACUGGAGGAAGGUGGGGAUGACGUCAAGUCAUCAUGGCCCUUACGACCAGGGCUACACACGUGCUACAAUGGCGCAUACAAAGAGAAGCGACCUCGCGAGAGCAAGCGGACCUCAUAAAGUGCGUCGUAGUCCGGAUUGGAGUCUGCAACUCGACUCCAUGAAGUCGGAAUCGCUAGUAAUCGUGGAUCAGAAUGCCACGGUGAAUACGUUCCCGGGCCUUGUACACACCGCCCGUCACACCAUGGGAGUGGGUUGCAAAAGAAGUAGGUAGCUUAACCUUCGGGAGGGCGCUUACCACUUUGUGAUUCAUGACUGGGGUGAAGUCGUAACAAGGUA
rnacentral:rRNA from 1 species